rnacentral:rRNA from 1 species
GAACGCUAGCUACAGGCUUAACACAUGCAAGUCGAGGGGUAACAUGAUUGGAGCUUGCUCCGAUUGAUGACGACCGGCGCACGGGUGAGUAACGCGUAUCCAACCUGCCCCAUGCUCUGGGAUAACCUUCCGAAAGGGAGCCUAAUACCGGAUGUUGUGCGACGAUGGCAUCAGAAUUGCACGAAAGAUUCGUCGGCAUGGGAUGGGGAUGCGUCUGAUUAGCUUGUUGGCGGGGUAACGGCCCACCAAGGCGACGAUCAGUAGGGGUUCUGAGAGGAAGGUCCCCCACACUGGUACUGAGACACGGACCAGACUCCUACGGGAGGCAGCAGUGAGGAAUAUUGGUCAAUGGGCGGGAGCCUGAACCAGCCAAGUAGCGUGCAGGAAGACGGCCCUACGGGUUGUAAACUGCUUUUAUGAGGGGAUAAAGGACACUACGUGUAGUGUUUUGCAGGUACCUCAUGAAUAAGGACCGGCUAAUUCCGUGCCAGCAGCCGCGGUAAUACGGAAGGUCCUGGCGUUAUCCGGAUUUAUUGGGUUUAAAGGGAGCGUAGGCGGAAGCUCAAGCGUGCUGUGAAAUGUACCGGCUCAACCGGUGACGUGCAGCGUGAACUGGGUUUCUUGAGUGUGCGGAAGGAACGCGGAAUUCGUGGUGUAGCGGUGAAAUGCUUAGAUAUCAC